CGCCUGGGCUCCGUGUAGCGGAAAAUGCCGUGUGUUUCUAGGGAGGUGAAAAAGGAGCCCUCCACCGAAAGGCAGAAUCAGCCAUUUAAAGUUUUGGCAACGAAAACUGUAAGUCAUGAGGCAUUAGAUGCAGGUAUCUACAGUGCAAUUCCAACAGAAAAAGUGGAUGGAACAUGUUGUUACGUUGCUACUUACAGAGAUACCUUUCGGUUUGAUUAGAUAGAAAACCUAACAAACAACCUGUUAAAAGGUUUUAAAAUUUUCUACAUUCAAAAGAAAACUUCAAAGAAUUUUCUUGGAAUGUUGAGGAGUACUUCAAAGCUACUCCAGAGUGUUGGCUAGCAGCAAAGGAAACAGAAAAAUUAAAUAGGAAUCUGGUCCAUGACGAAACAUGGACACAUUCCUGGUGGGGCACCAGUAGAGAAAAAUAACAAAUAGCAUUACUGGCAUUCCUCUGUGGUUAAUUAUGAAUUUGCAAUUGAUCUGGUACUAAAGCAUCAUCCUGAGGAUCCUAGGCUUUUGGAAAUUAGUGCCGUGCCAUUAUCAGAUUUCUUGGAACAAACAUUGCAGCUUAUAGGAACAAAUAUCAAUGGAAACCCAUAUGGGUUAGGAAGGAAGAAGCAUCCACAAUAUGUUAUACUACACGGACCAUUUCAAAAAGAAACCUGCCUAUGUUGAAGCACAAUGAUCUGUUGUCCUGGUUUGAAAGCUGCAGAGUAGGUAAAGUGAAAGGAAUAGUAUGGGAUUGCAGUGAUGGCUGUUUAAUUAAGGUCCAUUACCAUCGUCUAUCCUCUUUGUUUACACUGGCCAAUUGCAGAUGUUUACAUGAAUUCAGAACCAGUAAUUACCAAUAUGAAACUUAACAAAUAUGACUAUGCUUUUGAUACUGUUUAACAAUUUUUUUAAUCAGAAAUUUAGUAGGCUUAAAGAUGUAAUACUUGACAUAUAA
rnacentral:lncRNA from 1 species